rnacentral:rRNA from 1 species
GGCUCAGGACGAACGCUGGAGGCGUGCUUAACACAUGCAAGUCGAACGAGACUGCUUUAAUAGCUUGCUAUUUUAGUAGUUUAGUGGCGGACGGGUGAGUAACACGUAAGUAACCUGGCCUUUAGUUGGGGAUAACUCUCCGAAAGGAGAGCUAAUACCGAAUAUUCUCAUAAUAUCGCAUGGUAAUAUGAGGAAAGGUUUACUGCUAGAGGAUGGGCUUGCGUCUGAUUAGCUAGUUGGUGAGGUAAUGGCUCACCAAGGCGACGAUCAGUAGCUGGUCUGAGAGGAUGAACAGCCACACUGGGACUGAGAUACGGCCCAGACUCCUACGGGAGGCAGCAGUGGGGAAUUUUGCGCAAUGGGGGAAACCCUGACGCAGCGACGCCUCGUGAGUGAUGACGUCUUUCGGGAUGUAAAGCUCUGUCGGCGGGGACGAUUAUGACGGUACCCGAAAAGGAAGCUCCGGCUAACUACGUGCCAGCAGCCGCGGUAAUACGUAGGGAGCGAGCGUUGUCCGGAUUUAUUGGGCGUAAAGCGUGCGUAGGCUGUUAGAUAAGUUGGAUGUUAAAGGCGGAGGCUUAACCUCUGUAUGCAUCCAAAACUGUUUGACUAGAGGACGAGAGAGGAAAGCGGAACUCACAGUGUAGCGGUGAAAUGCGUAGAUAUUGUGGGGAACACCUGUGGCGAAGGCGGCUUUCUGGACCGUUUCUGACGCUGAGGCACGAAAGCAUGGGGAGCAAACAGGAUUAGAUACCCUGGUAGUCCAUGCUGUAAACGAUGAUCACUAGGUGUGGGAGGUAUCGACCCCUUCUGUGCCGUAGCUAACGCGUUAAGUAAUCCGCCUGGGAAGUACGGCCGCAGGGCUAAAACU